UUGAAGAGACAGUUUUUCCAACAGUACUCUGGAGCUGCAAGUUGAAGGGAAAGGUGUGUGGCUGAGACAUCCUGGAAAUCCAUCCAUCAAACAACUGGCCUUGAGGAUUUACUAGCUGUGGUGAGAGAAUAUCUCCAGUCUUCCUGGGGGACAGCUGGACUGGGGAAAGAUCUUGCUGGCACAUCUGAGGACAUCAGCUGGACUCCUGUACCUGAGUCAACAAGGACUCUAUUUGUGAGAAAUCUGGUUACCCGCUGGACUUGCCUUUAGGAAGCUUUGUGGAGGUCCAUCCAAUUGAAGAGGAGGAGAUAAGGCAGAAAAACCAAUGAGAAGGCUACUGCAAUAAUCUAGGAACUAGCAAGGCAACCUGAAGCAAACUGCAGCUGCACAGCCAUCAUUGUGAGCCAGAGACUGACGGAGGUGUUUGGGAAAUUCACUGAACUGAAGAAAGACAACCGUUAGAGAGCAAGAGCUUGUGCUUCUUACUGCUUCAAUGACUCAGAUGGGUUUCAAUGAACUUUCUGUUCAGAGGGAGACCUUUCCGACAAAUCUUACCCUUGGAUCCUCCUCUAAUUCAUUGCAGCUUGCCUCACAGGAAGUAGCCUUGGAAGGGCAAGCAGAGCCUGAAGAUGGCAAAGAUGGCAUUUUAUCUGAAAAGUAGCAGGUGUUGAAAUCCCAAACAGAACAGGCAAGAUUCAUAACGACUUUAUUCAAAGGAAUUUCCAG